AGAGUUUGAUCCUGGCUCAGGAUGAACGCUAGCUACAGGCUUAACACAUGCAAGUCGAGGGGCAGCAUUAUCGGAGCUUGCCUUGAUAGAUGGCGACCGGCGCACGGGUGAGUAACGCGUAUCCAACCUUCCCCUUAGUAGAGGAUAGCCCGGCGAAAGUCGGAUUAAUACUCUAUGUUGUAUUUUGAGGACAUCUGACGAAUACCAAAGGUUUAUCGCUAAGGGAUGGGGAUGCGUCUGAUUAGCUUGUCGGCGGGGUAACGGCCCACCGAGGCAACGAUCAGUAGGGGUUCUGAGAGGAAGGUCCCCCACAUUGGUACUGAGACACGGACCAAACUCCUACGGGAGGCAGCAGUGAGGAAUAUUGGUCAAUGGGCGUAGGCCUGAACCAGCCAAGUAGCGUGCAGGAAGACUGCCCUAUGGGUUGUAAACUGCUUUUAUGCGGGAAUAAAGUCAGGUACGCGUACCUGUUUGCAUGUACCGCAUGAAUAAGGACCGGCUAAUUCCGUGCCAGCAGCCGCGGUAAUACGGAAGGUCCGGGCGUUAUCCGGAUUUAUUGGGUUUAAAGGGAGCGCAGGCGGAGGAUUAAGCGUGACGUGAAAUGUCCCGGCUCAACCGUGGAACUGCGUCGCGAACUGGUUUUCUUGAGUGAGUGCGACGUCGGCGGAAUUCGUGGUGUAGCGGUGAAAUGCUUAGAUAUCACGAAGAACCCCGAUUGCGAAGGCAGCCGACGAGUCCUUAACUGACGCUAAAGCUCGAAAGUGCGGGUAUCGAACAGGAUUAGAUACCCUGGUAGUCCGCACGGUAAACGAUGAAUGCCCGCUGU
rnacentral:rRNA from 1 species